GUCACAGUAUGCAAGUGGACAAAGCUGGCUGUCUGUAAAACAGUCCUCUCCGGAGUACGUGGGUUCGAAUCCCUCCUGUGGCAC
rnacentral:tRNA from 2 species